ACCCGAGAGCGAAGAAGAAAAGAGAGAGAGAAAAAAAAAAGGGAAGGGAAGGGACAAAAUUAAAUGGCGACUCAGGCGACCCACAAGCCCUUCCAUGGCUGCUUCUUCUUCCUCCCACACAGCGACACGAAUUGAAGAUAUUUGAAUUCUUUCUACACUCACAUUUAUGAUUUUCCCGUUCUUGUUGGAUCCUACUAGAUUUUGACUCGAUCUUCAGGCAGAUCUGAUCGCGAAAAUUCCCUAUUUCCAGCUAAUUUUCCCGUAGCGUUGGCUUUUUUUUUUUUUGUGAUCGGAGAUGGAGGCACUGACGGAGCUUUGUGACAUUAUAGCAGAGAAUCCGAAGCAAUUCUCGGAGAAGUUAGCUUGGAUAUGCGGUCGUUGUCCACAAACGGAAUGGCUUCUCGCUGAUUCUCCCAGGGUUUCUCGGAGUCAUCUCAACGCGGUUUUAGCCGUUGCUCGGAUCAUCUCCAAAAAUCCAGAAUCAAUCGAUAAUCGUGCCAAAUCCGUCGUGAAUGAGUUUCUCAGCGCUAUACCUGCAUCGUUCCGCCGUUCCUUCUGGCCGCAUUCGUUUCCUUCGCAGUCGAUCUCUUCGUUUUAUUGUGAUUUCUUGAGUUAUCUUUCGUGUGCGGCGGAUCUAUCGCCGGAAUUUGGUACCGAGGUUGCUAGGUUUACAGGGGAAGUUGUGAUAGCCGCUAUUGCACCGAGUUCUGGUGUGAGCGACGGGGAUCCAGCAAUUUCUAAGGCUUUUUUGGUCGCACUUUCUCAGAAUUUUCCGUCGAUUCUGCAAUCUGAUGGGGAUAAGUUGAUUUUAAUGCUGCUUGAUCAGUUUGUUGUGAACCGUGCUCCUGCCUCUCCCAAGGACCAGCGGCAACAGAACUCGGCUAACUCUGAAACUGAAACCUCGUCGUCUCAGGGCUCUAGUCCUGGCGACGAUGGAACUAGCCAUGGUUCCAAUGUAUCCUCUAAGAGUUCAUCGUCUGUAGUGGUGGAUGGGGGUAGUAUUGUAUGGAAGAUUGGUGUUGAUCAGCUGAGCUUUGGAUUUAGCGAGGGGAGUGGAGGUGCUAACCCUGUUUUUAGACAACUAGUGGCUUCUUUUGAAGACGAAUCCAUUGAGAGCUUGGAGAAGCAAGAGAUUGCCUUUAGAUUGAUAACCCAUAUUUUGGAGAAAGUUAAAAUUGAUUCCAAACUUCAGGAUCAAGUGAGAAUUAUAGCCAAGAGGAAGCUUCAGACCAUGUCUGCAUUUCUGAAGUCAACAAAGCGAGACUGGAACGAACAAGGCCCAGUUCUGAAAACUAGAGUCAAUGCAAUGCUGUCUGUUUAUCAGGCUGCAGCUAAAAUGAAAAUCAAGAGCCUGGUGUCUCUUGAAACAGAUGGAAAAACUUCUAAAAGGUUGGUCCUGGAGACGCUUGCAUUGCUUUUAGAUGCUGCAGAUGCCUGCUUGACAUCUGUGUGGCGGAAAAUGAAGGCCUGUGAAGAACUGUUCGAUUCUCUGCUUUCUGGGAUUGCGAAGAUUGCAGUGGCAAGAGGAGGGCAGCCACUUCGCGGGUUGCUCAUCCGACUUAAACCACUGGUACUGGCUGUCUGUGCAAAGUGUCUCUUGGAACAGCCAGAUACUUGGGUUGGCAAUCAAGGGGCUAUGCUUGAGAGCGUAUUUAAGACUAGUUGUGAGAUUAUUGAAUCUGCCUGGGCCAAGGACCGGGCUCCAGUGGACAACUUCAUUUCGGGGUUAGCUUCAAGUAUUCGUGAAAGAAAUGAUUAUGAAGAACAGGUUGAUAGAGAGAAGCAAGUACCUGCUGUACAGCUUAAUGUGAUUCGGCUGCUAGCUGAUCUCAAUGUUGCUGUUAAGAAGCCGGAAGUAGCUGACAUGAUUUUACCACUUUUUAUUGAAAGCCUGGAAGAGGGUGAUGCUUCGAGUCCUAGCUUUUUGCGACUCCAACUUCUUGAUGCUGUUUCUAGGAUAGCAACAUUAGGGUUUGAUAAGUCUUACCGUGAGACAGUAGUUCUGAUGACCAGAAGUUAUUUGAGCAAAUUAUCGAGUGUAGGAUCUGUAGAAAGCAAAACGUCAGCACCGGAAGCCACAACCGAGCGUGUAGAGACUCUUCCUGCAGGUUUUCUUACAAUUGCCAGUGGUCUUAUGGAUACAAAAUUGCGUUCGGACUACCGCCAUCGUUUGCUUUCCUUGUGUUCAGAUGUAGGCUUGGCUGCUGAGUCCAAAAGUGGAGGGAGUGGUGUGGAUUUUUUAGGGCCUCUUCUUCCCGCUGUUGCAGAAAUAUGUUCAGAUUUUGAUCCUACUACGGAUGUGGAACCUUCACUUUUGAAGUUGUUUCGCAAUCUCUGGUUUUAUAUAGCCCUCUUUGGCUUAGCACCUCCUAUUGUGAAAACUCCUACACCACCCCUGAAGUCAACCUCCAAUUCAGUGAACAGUGUGGGAAGCAUGAGUGCAACUGCUUUGCAAGCUGUGGGAGGUCCUUACUUGUGGAACACUCAGUGGGCCCUAGCUGUUCAGCGAAUUGCUCAAGGCACUCCCCCCCUUGUCGUCAGUUCAGUAAAAUGGCUUGAAGACGAAUUAGAACUCAAUGCGCUUCACAAUCCUGGUAGCCGCCGAGGAAAUGGAAAUGAGAAAGUAGCUUCAACCCAGAGACUUGCUCUUUCAACUGCCUUAGGUGGCAGAGUUGACGUUGCAGCAAUGAACACAAUCUCAGGGGUGAAGGCUACCUAUUUGCUUGCUGUGGCUUUUUUGGAGAUCAUACGUUUUAUUAGCAACGGGGGUAUCCUUAAUGGUGACUCAAGUGUAUCUGCCUCUAGAAGUGCCUUCAGUUGUGUGUUCGAAUAUCUGAAAACUCCAAAUCUUACUCCUGCUGUUUCCCAGUGUUUGACGGCAAUUGUGCAUAGAGCCUUUGAAACAGCAGUCUCAUGGCUGGAAGAUCGAAUAUCUCUUACUGGGAAAGAUGCUCGUAAUAGAGAACUGACAACAUAUGCACAUGCAUGUUUCCUCAUAAAGAGCAUGUCACAGAGAGAUGAGCACGUCCGAGAUAUCUCUGUGAACCUGUUGACUCAGCUACGAGACAAAUUUCCUCAGGUCCUCUGGCAUUCGUCAUGUCUGGAUAGUUUGCUGUUUUCAGUUCAUGACAAUACACCUUCAACUGUUGUCAAUGAUCCUGCUUGGACUGCUGCUGUUCGAUCCUUAUACCAGAAAGUUGUACGAGAAUGGAUCAUAAUAUCACUUUCAUAUGCUCCAUGCACCAGUCAGGGUUUGCUUCAGGAUAAGCUGUGCAAAGCAAACACAUGGCAGCGAGCACAAACUACAACUGAUGUGGUUUCUCUUCUAUCUGAGAUAAAAAUUGGAACUGGAAAAAAUGAACUUUGGUCUGGGAUAAGAACUGCUAAUAUCCCAGCUGUGAUGGCUGCAGCAGCUGCAGCGUCAGGGGCAAACUUAAAAGUUUCUGAAGCCUUUAACUUGGAAGUACUUGGUACUGGUGUAGUCAGUGCAACGGUAAAGUGCAACCAUGCUGGAGAAAUUGCUGGCAUGCGAAGGUUGUACAACAGUAUUGGUGGAUUUCAAUCUGGCUCGACACCUAGUGGUUUUGGUGGUGGCCUUCAAAGAUUAAUAUCUGGAGCAUUUUCCCAGGCACCACAACCAGAAGAUGAUUCAUUUAAUGAGAUGUUAAUUGCCAGGUUUGUGCGUCUUCUUCAGCAAUUUGUAAAUACUGCUGAAAAGGGUGGAGAGGUGGAGAAGUCGCAAUUCCGAGAAACUUGUUCCCAAGCAACUGCAUUACUUCUGUCAAACCUGGGUGGUGAGUCGAAAACAAAUGUCGAAGGCUUUUCUCAAUUACUGCGUCUCCUUUGUUGGUGUCCAGCAUAUAUAUCUACUCCAGAUGCUAUGGAAACUGGAAUUUUUAUAUGGACCUGGUUGGUCUCUGCUGCUCCUCAACUGGUAUCUCUUGUCCUUGCCGAGCUUGUUGAUGCAUGGAUAUGGACAAUUGAUACAAAGCGAGGACUCUUUGCAUCUGAUGUACGAUACUCUGGCCCAGCUGCAAAAUUAAGACCCCAUCUUUCCCCAGGGGAACCAGAAGAUCCACCGGAAAGUGACCCUGUUGAGCAGAUAGUCGCUCACAGACUGUGGCUUGGAUUUUUGAUUGAUCGUUUUGAGGUUGUUCGACAUAAUAGUGCGGAGCAACUGUUGCUGCUAGGUCGGAUGUUACAACGGAGUACAGACCUUGACUGGUGCUUUACUCGCCACCCUGCAGCUGCUGGUACCUUUUUUUCUUUGAUGCUCCUUGGACUGAAAUUCUGCUCAUGCCAAACACAAGGCAAUAUGCAGAAAUUUAGAUCUGGACUCCAGCUCUUAGAAGAUCGAAUCUACAGGACGUCUUUAGGCUGGUUUGCUCAUCAGCCAGAGUGGUAUGAUGUAAAUAUUCCAAAUUUUUGUCAGAGCGAGGCUCUAUCUGUUUCAGUUUUUGUUCACUUUUUAUCAAACGAGCUAUCAGAAUCAAGUCAAUCUGAUUCCAAAGGAAAACCUCGUGAAAGUGGGAAUUUGAUUGAUGUGACUGAUCAGUAUCAUCCUGUCUGGGGUGAGAUGGACAACUACACUGUGGGAAAAGAAAAAAGGAAGCAGUUGCUUUUAAUGCUCUGCCAGCAUGAAGCUGACAGGCUUGACGUUUGGGCACAACCUAUUAGUUCAAAGGACAGUCCAUAUUCGCGGCUUAAAAUAAGCUCUGAGAAAUGGACCGAAUAUGCUAAAACGGCCUUUGCAGUGGAUCCUCGCAUUGCUUUAUCAGUCGCCUCAAGAUUUCCGGCAAAUGCUUCUGUAAAAUCUGAAGUCACUCAGCUGGUUCAGACAAAUAUAGUAGAUCUUCGUACAAUUGCUGAGGCAUUGCCGUAUUUUGUUACACCAAAAAACGUUGAAGAGAACUCAGUGCUGUUGCAGCAGCUACCGCACUGGGCUGCUUGUUCAAUUACACAGGCUCUUGAGUUCCUCACGCCUGCUUAUAAGGGACAUCCACGUGUCAUGGCAUAUGUCCUACGAGUUUUAGAGUCCUACCCUCCUGAGCGAGUUACUUUUUUCAUGCCGCAGUUGGUGCAGUCUUUGCGCUAUGAUGAAGGGAGGCUAGUUGAAGGGUAUCUUCUUAGAGCUACCCAAAGAAGUGACAUAUUUGCCCAUAUUCUCAUUUGGCAUUUGCAGGGUGAGAAUGUUCAGGAAACUCCGAAGGAUGGUUCUAUCGAUAAGAAUGCGGCAUUCCAAGAAAUUUUGCCAGUGGUUCGGCAGCAUAUCAUUGAUGGUUUCAGUCCCAAUGCCUUGGACAUGUUCACUAGAGAGUUUGACUUCUUUGACAAGGUUACUUCUAUUUCUGGGGUGCUAUUUCCUCUUCCAAAGGAAGAACGCAGAGCCGGUAUUAGGAGGGAGUUGGAGAAAAUUGAAAUGCAGGGAGAUGACCUUUAUUUGCCAACUGCUCCUAACAAGCUUGUUAGGGGUAUCCGUGUAGACAGUGGAAUACCCUUACAAUCAGCUGCCAAAGUCCCUAUUAUGAUAACUUUUAACGUUGUUGAUCGUGAUGGUGACCACAAUGAUGUAAAACCACAGGCUUGCAUUUUCAAGGUUGGAGAUGAUUGCCGGCAAGAUGUUCUUGCCCUUCAAGUGAUAUCUCUUCUUAGAGACAUAUUUCAAGCGGCUGGUCUUAAUCUUUAUCUUUUUCCAUAUGGAGUACUCCCAACUGGUGCGGAGAGGGGCAUAAUUGAGGUUGUGCCUAAUACAAGAAGCAGAAGUCAAAUGGGUGAAACUACCGACGGGGGUUUGUAUGAGAUUUUUCAACAAGACUAUGGACCCGUCGGCUCAACCACCUUUGAAACAGCACGAGAGAACUUCCUCAUCAGCAGUGCCGGUUACGCAGUGGCUAGUCUUUUACUCCAGCCCAAAGACAGACACAAUGGAAAUCUCCUCUUCGAUGACGUGGGAAGACUUGUCCACAUCGACUUUGGUUUCAUUUUGGAAACUUCACCUGGUGGAAACAUGCGGUUCGAGAGUGCUCAUUUCAAACUGAGCCACGAAAUGACCCAGUUGCUAGAUCCGUCGGGUGUUAUGAAAAGCAAAACAUGGCAUCAGUUUGUGAGCUUGUGCGUGAAGGGGUACUUAGCUGCUCGGCGGCAGAUGGACGGAAUCAUCAGCACUGUUCAAAUGAUGCUAGAAAGUGGAUUGCCUUGCUUUAGCAGAGGAGAUCCAAUUGGUAAUCUUAGGAAAAGAUUUCACCCAGAAAUGAGCGAACGUGAAGCUGCACACUUCAUGAUUCAUGUAUGUACGGACGCAUAUAACAAGUGGACUACUGCUGGAUACGACUUGAUUCAGUAUUUGCAACAAGGCAUCGAGAAGUAAGAAGAACAAGAGGGACCUUAAUGAUAUCUGAAAUCAGAGUUAUAUAAUUUGCAGGGUUUUGCUAUGCACCAAAAAAAAAAAAAGAAGUAACAAAAGAGAAAGGUAGGAGUGUUGUGGUGUUGGGAUUUUGGAUAACUUGAGAUGCAAGCUAUUGUGAUUUGUAUGAUCUAUUGAUUAUUGUUGUUAUCAACUUUCAAUGGUUGAAAUGGUCACGUGUUUGUUGAUAAUUCCAUACGUUAUAAAACAA